CCUCUUGGAGCUUAAUGGUAAGAGCAUUGGUUCGUGAAGCCAAAGGUACCGGGAUCUAUUCCCGGCAAGGGUG
rnacentral:tRNA from 1 species